rnacentral:lncRNA from 1 species
CGUUCGACUGCGCAUCAGCAACUGGUGGCUUGCAAGUUGCAGCACCAAAAAUUUUU